AGAGCGGCGCACGGGUGCGUAACGCGUAUGCAACCUACCUCAUACAGGGGGAUAGCCCGGAGAAAUCUGGAUUAAUACCCCAUGGUACUACUACAAGGCAUUUUGUUAUAGUUAAAGAUUCAUCGGUAUGAGAUGGGCAUGCGUCUGAUUAGCUAGUUGGCGGUGUAACGGACCACCAAGGCGACGAUCAGUAGGGGUUCUGAGAGGAAGGUCCCCCACACUGGCACUGAGAUACGGGCCAGACUCCUACGGGAGGCAGCAGUAGGGAAUAUUGGGCAAUGGACGAGAGUCUGACCCAGCCAUGCCGCGUGCAGGAAGACGGCGUUCUGCGUUGUAAACUGCUUUUAUCUGGGAAGAAAAGGCCCAUGCGUGGGACAUUGCCGGUACCAGAUGAAUAAGCACCGGCUAACUCCGUGCCAGCAGCCGCGGUAAUACGGAGGAUCCAAGCGUUAUCCGGAAUCAUUGGGUUUAAAGGGUCCGUAGGCGGCCUUAUAAGUCAGUGGUGAAAUCUCCCAGCUCAACUGGGAA
rnacentral:rRNA from 1 species